rnacentral:lncRNA from 1 species
AUCUAUAUCUUUUCUUUAAAGUAAUGCAAAUCGACAACAAUAUUUGUAUAGUAUAAUUCUAACCAUUUUUACGGAUGUUUUAUUUAUCUUUUUAAGUGGGUGCACUAACAGUAAUUGUGGUUUGUAAGUAUUUGCUCAUUUAAAAUGUUUUUUUUUAAGCGAGUCCUUAUUCAUUUCACUGCAAGCCAGUGACCGUCUGAAAUUGGUACUAUUUUAAAAUGACCAUUCUAUGUAAUUCUAUUAUUUUCGUAUGUUCAUCGGAUAGUUUAGAUAAUUCUGCUUAUAUAUACUCUAUGCGAGCGACCGACUUGUGAUCUAUUUUGAUCUGGAGAAUACUAAACAUUAUGAAAUAGUACUUCAACAUACUGAUACAAUUUAGACUUAUGGUCAUCCAAUGCUUUGACCAAGUAUGCCCAUCUUUUUAUUUCUGA